AGUGAUUGUAUUCUGAAAAAAAAAAAAAAAAGAGUUAAAUCUCUAAACCAAUGAAUCUCAUAAUAAAAUAAUAAACUGAGUUUCUGACCAAUUGAACUAGCCCGCAUCAUCAUGUGUCGAUUGGACAGUAAGGCCCCGUCUCUGAUAUGGCCGAGAUCUUUGUCGUGCUGACACCGGAAAAGGUAGCAACGGCUAUGGGCAUUUAGCACCUGUCUCAGCCUGUCUGUCUCCACCUUCAAUGUUUCCUCUUGGGUUUUGACAACCCAACUACAAAAAAUUUCUCUGGGGCUUUCGCAUAUAGAAGGAUCUUGCUCAUCAUCCUGUGUCUUUGAGUAUAUUCAUGCCUGCAUGACAGGCAGAAGAUGACUAUCUUACAAUACCUGAUUCUCUCGUAGAGAAAAAGAUGGCCUUCUGGGAUUGAGAGGACUGAAGUCAGGGGACCUGGCUAUGGAACUGAGGUUGUAUUCUGCAAAUUCACUUCUUCACAAGUUGACAUGCCUGUUAUUCGAUCUGAGCAAGGUGCAGGAAUGAUCAAUUGCAAUAUACUGCAGGAGAACUGCAGACGGGAUGCACGAUGAAAUUUAUUGGUCCAAACUUCUACUGAAUUUUGAAGGGUAGUUCAAUAAGAAGGCUUUGGUAAUCUUCUGGUGACCAGUUUAGGUCAUAAGAGUUUUUCCCAAUGGUUAUUGAGUUCCUUCUCUGAGAAGUGGAUGUUGAUGACGUAUUGGAAUAUGUUUCUUGCUGCUAGCAGAAGAGGCAACAAGCAAGUCAAUCUCUCUAUACUUCGAGGCUUGCUAGUAGAGCGUUGGUGGAUAAGUGAGACUCGUAACGUUCAACCUUUUCCAUGCAAGUGGUGUCAACAGACUUGAACCGGAAAAGAAAUAAGAAGACAAAGGAAAAAAAGAAGAAGGCAUAUCAUGAUCUGGAUAAUGCUUUAAUAAAUCACCAGAAAUAAGUUGUAAAGAUGACCAGAUCUAGUUUCCCUUAUUUCUUCUGCUGAAAGCAUUUUUAAGAAUUUGAAAGAGAGACUUUUAAUUGAUGGUGAAUUGCUUAUUCUCGGUAA